AUCACUUCUCGGGCUUUUGGCUAAGAGAUCAAGUGUAGUAUUUGUUCUUAUCAGUUUAAUAUCUGAUACGUCCUCUAUAUGAGGACUACAUAUUAAACUGAUUUUUAGAACAGGGAGACGGAAGAGGGGCUUGCUCCGUCCGCUCCACUUUUUUGGGGCAGUCAUGGGCUGGAGGUUAGGGAACUGGCC
ensembl:snRNA U2 U2 spliceosomal RNA